GGCCACGAAGAGAAACAAGAUGUCUGUCAUAGCAUAAUUUGCGCGCUCCAAGUCCAGUGCAAUUUAUUACGAUAUCGUAAUCGUUAGUCAAUUCUUUAAGAGAAUUUAAUUCUCUUUGCUUAAAUGUAAUUCCAUUUAAUUGCAAUCUAGCAAUGCGAAUAGUUCAAAUUACAGUUUUUCUGUCUUUCGUUGAAUCAUACAUUACUUACCGACGUUUAACCCAUGGAAGAUACAAAUUACUUUGUGUAAGGAGUGUCGAGAAAUAAAAAUUAUUUUUUUAUUCUCAAUCUUACUCUAACGAUGUCUUGAGAUGAAUUCGCGAAUAUAUAUCCAGAAAUAUCAGUCACUCCAGCAUGAGAAGCAUCAUCCAUUUUUCGAACAGCAUCGUAAAAUUCGGCCGCAGAAUGAAGCACCGACUCUAAAGAUUCCCGCAGCUACAUGACUGACAGUAUUAUCAAAAUCCGAAGCCAAAACUGUUAUGUCAGCAUUACGAAAAUACCCUGCUUGUACAAAUCCAGCUGUCGUUAAUCCGACAAUUCCACCACCAAUAAUAGCUACUCUCAUUUCGUUUUUAACUGUAGUAUAAUACAAUUAUAAGUAAAACGUAAAUAUUGAAAGAAUUGUAACAUCGCUUAACAAUAUUAAAAGGUUUGAGAAUUA